UACAACCCAAGUUUGCUGUUCGUUCUAAAGACCUUAUUUGAUCUGUAAGAAUUUGAAUAGACAUUCCAGACUCAAGUCGUCCUCUCUGAAGACUGCUUCUGACCGCUUUGAAAAACAGCCAAGAAGGGUCCACACACUGACUGGGAUAGCUGAGGCCAAAGAGGCAACUUCUAAGUGUGCCUGGUGACCGAAUUUUAACAUGUAUGUCUGGAACUAUAUAGUUUUUACACAUUUUAUUUCACAGAAGCCUUGCAGAUGGUGCCUUUUGGUCCAAGAAAUCCAGGCACUGGACUAGUAUUUACUUAAAAACGUAUCCCUCUGUCCCCCGCCAUAUAUAUAUCUCAUGCACACACUCACACAUAAUCUUAACGAAUGUGUAAGGCCUAAGACAGUACUUGGUUUUACAGAAGAAACAAAAAUGAUUAAACAAGAUUUGUGUCUUCAGGAACAUCAUUAUAUGUUCCGAGGGAAAAAAAGAACUCCCAUGCAUAGGCUAAUGUCUUGUUAAUGCUUCUUGUACAUAUUUGAUUCUUGUUUUAUGACUAUUUUGUGUUCACUUUUUUUUUAAUGCACACAACUUAGAAAGCUAGACAGAAAACCAAUCUUGGGCAGUUUUGUUGUAUUUCUGUUCAAGCUGUGUGUAAUUCCUAGCAAAAUAAUGUUAAUAAUAAUAGGUAUGGUGGAGUCUUUGAGUUAUGUCCACUUGAUUUUAUUCCCUUAUGCUAUAUGGAAGAGUAUUAGCUCCCUCUUUUUGAAUAAAAAUCAUUUUACAUUUGGAGCUGGAGUUUCUCUUCAUUAAAGACAUUACUUGAUCUUUAAAGUUUGGUUUGAAAUUUUGUGAUUCCCUUUAAUGAAGCCAAAGAAGGUUUAAAAAAAAAAGGGAUUUGUUUACUCUUCUUAAGCAAAAGGUUUCUUGAAAGCCUUUAGGGAGGAAAAAUCCAUAGCAUUAAUUAUACUGUAUCUUGUCUUUAACCAAAUCUUGCAAAAUGGCCCUCGAUGGAUAGACUGUGGAUGAAGAAGGUAGGCUCAAUGUAAUAAGAAGAUUCCUAAUGAGGAAUUCAAGAAGACAUUUCCAUAAGACUGUGUGGAUCAUAAAAUGACAAAUCCAUGAACAUUAUUUAGGGCUGCUUUCAAGAAUUUACCAAAUUUGAGUUAUUAAGACUUUUCUCAAACUUUUU
rnacentral:lncRNA from 1 species